GGCCGCCUGGCGAAAUGGCAUCGCGUCUGACUACGAUGGGUUGGUUCAGGCAAUUUCGUGCGUUAUCAGGAAAUUGCAGGUUCGACCCCUGCGGUGGUCA